UACAGGGGGGCGAGCGUUGUUCGGAAUUACUGGGCGUAAAGGGCGCGUAGGCGGCCUUCUAAGUCGAACGUGAAAUCCCCGGGCUCAACCCGGGAACUGCGUCCCGAUACUGGGAGGCUUGAAUCCGGGAGAGGGAUGUGGAAUUCCAGGUGUAGCGGUGAAAUGCGUAGAUAUCUGGAGGAACACCGGUGGCGAAGGCGGCGAUCCUGGACCGGUAUUGACGCUGGAGGCGCGAAAGCCAGGGGAGCAACAGG
rnacentral:rRNA from 1 species